AAAAGCUCGUAGUUGGAUCUCAGUUCCAGACGGGUGGUCCGCCUACCGGUGGUUACUGCCUGUUCUGAACAGCCAGCCGGUUUCUCUUGAUGAUCUUCACCGGUUGUCUUGGGUGACCGGCAAGUUUACUUUGAAAAAAUUAGAGUGCUCAAAGCAGGCGCGACGCCUGAAUAAUGGUGCAUGGAAUAAUGGAAUAGGACCUCKGUUCUAUUUUGUUGGUUUUMGGAACACGAGGUAAUGAUUAAGAGGGACAGACGGGGGCAUUCGUAUUGCGACGCUAGAGGUGAAAUUCUUGGACCGUCGCARGACGAACUACUGCGAAAGCAUUUGCCAAGAAUGUUUCCAUUAAUCAAGAACGAAAGUUAGAGGUUCGAAGGCGAUCAGAUACCGCCCUAGUUCUAACCAUAAACGAUGCCAGCCAGCGAUCCGGCUGUGUUCMUCAAAYGACACGCCGGGCAGCUUCCGGGAAACCAAAGCUUUUGGGUUCCGGGGGAAGUAUGGUUGCAAAGCUGAAACUUAAAGGAAUUGACGGAAGGGCACCACCAGGAAUGGAGCCUGCGGCUUAAUUUGACUCAACACGGGAAAACUCACCCGGCCCGGACACAGGAAGGAUUGACAGAUURAGAGCUCUUUCUUGAUUCUGUGGGUGGUGGUGCAUGGCCGUUCUUAGUUGGUGGAGCGAUUUGUCUGGUUAAUUCCGAUAACGAACGAGACUCUAGCCURCUAAAUAGACGYUCCGAUCACUCCAGUCGGGCGUUCUUCUUAGAGGGACAAGYGGCGUUUAGCCGCACGAGACAGAGCAAUAACAGGUCUGUGAUGCCCUUAGAUGUUCGGGGCCGCACGCGCGCUACAUUGAAGGAAUCAGCGUGUGCUUUCCCUGUCCGACAGGACUGGGUAACCCGAUGAACCUCCUUCGUGCUAGGGAUAGGAAAUUGUAAUUAUUUUCCUUGAACGAGGAAUUCCCAGUAAGCGCGAGUCAUUAGCUCGUGUUGAUUACGUCCCUGCCCUUUGUACACACCGCCCGUCGCUACUACCGAUUGAAUGAUUUAGUGAGGUCUUCGGACUGGCGCUCGCAGCGGCCUUCGGGUCGSGGCGGCGUGCCGGAAAGAUGACCGAACUUGAUCAUUUASAGGAAGUAAAAGUCGUAACAAGGUUUCC
rnacentral:rRNA from 1 species